AGGCUUUGCACACUGAAUAGAGGAAACUGGAGAGGAGAGACUGCAGGGGAUAAACAAUACAAGAGGAGGAGCGGGUCUGCAUGAAUGCUGUAUACCUUCAGUCACUGCAAGGUGGGCAGCUUGAUGAAGUUUGAUGGCAAACAAAACCACUAAUGUUCCAUAGCGCAUGAGAGGACUGCACAUCCCACAAAGACAUAUGCAGCUCUACAGUGAUUCAGCUGACAAAUUUUGUGCCUGAAACUAAAUAUGGAAAAUCUUGGUGGAUGUUGUUGGAGUACCAUCUCCUGGUGCCUCCAGUCCUUUUUUUUUAUGUAUUGACAAGACAUGACGGUGCGUCUCUGAGUCUUCAAAAGACUCUUAAACAAGACCCAUUGGUGCCAAAGACAAUCUACAGUGUGGGACUGUCUCUUGAAACUGGGUGCAGUCAAAAACCUGAGCUAUCAAGACUCUACUAUCAUAUCAGGGACAUCCGUUUUGACAAUGCUGUGCUGAGAGUUGAAGUACACCAUAGAGAGUGGCCGACGCUCAGUGGGAACACAACAUGAAGCUGCAGCCGUGUUAAUGCCGUUGACUUUC